AGUUCUUAUGAUAUCGGUAGAUAAAAUCAAAUAAUUCAUUCCAAACAAGCCUCUAAUAAUAAGUGAAUCAUACAAACAACUCAAAAUAGUAAAACACAAUUAGUACAUACAAACAACUCUAACCAUGUACCACAUUUGAAUCCAAAUGUCAUCUCUAAAAUUCCAAUGUAUUUAUCUAUAUAGGAGAUAACAUCAUCAUCAACAUUCAACAAUGAUUUGAUCAAAAAGUUGCAACUUCUAAGAAUCGAAAAAAUAUAACACAAGCAACACCAACAUGACCAUUUUGCCUCAGAAUCGAUACACUUAACUGAGUUUAUGCAAACAAAAUCAUCAUUGCCUUACAAAUUGAGUGCUACAAAGUUUCAAAUCAUUCACCUGGAUUCAUAUAUGCUAAAACAAGGUAUGUUUGUUGUAUCUAUGAAUAAGACUAGUUCAAACUAGGAGCUACCUCUGUAGGAUUGGAGUCGAAUAC
rnacentral:lncRNA from 1 species